rnacentral:rRNA from 1 species
AUUGAACGCUGGCGGCAUGCCUUACACAUGCAAGUCGAACGGCAGCACGGGUGCUUGCCCCUGGUGGCGAGUGGCGAACGGGCGAGUAAUACAUCGGAACAUGUCCUGUAGUGGGGGAUAGCCCGGCGAAAGCCGGAUUAAUACCGCAUACGAUCUACGGAUGAAAGCGGGGGACCUUCGGGCCUCGCGCUAUAGGGUUGGCCGAUGGCUGAUUAGCUAGUUGGUGGGGUAAAGGCCUACCAAGGCGACGAUCAGUAGCUGGUCUGAGAGGACGACCAGCCACACUGGGACUGAGACACGGCCCAGACUCCUACGGGAGGCAGCAGUGGGGAAUUUUGGACAAUGGGCGAAAGCCUGAUCCAGCAAUGCCGCGUGUGUGAAGAAGGCCUUCGGGUUGUAAAGCACUUUUGUCCGGAAAGAAAUCCUUGGCCCUAAUACGGUCGGGGGAUGACGGUACCGGAAGAAUAAGCACCGGCUAACUACGUG